UACGGCGACAUCACGUUGGAACACCGGUCUUCGUACAAUCACCGAAGUUAAGCAACGCAAGCCUGGUCAGUACCGUGAUGGGUGAACGCUUGGGAAUACCACGUGCUGUCU